UCAAUGUCGGACUGCCCGCGAUCGGCGCUGACUUCCGCGCCGACUCGAGCCAGUUGCAGUGGGUGGUCAACGCCUAUCUCCUGCCGCUCAGCGCACUGCUGCUGCUCGGCGGCGCGGCGGGGGACCGGUANCUUGAUCGCAGGCGUCGCGCUGUUCGCCAUUGCGUCGCUGGCCUGUGCAUUGGCCCCGACGCUGGGAUGGCUGCUCGCCGCGCGCUUCAUCCAGGGCGCGAGUGCGGCAAUGCUGAUGCCGAACAGCCUCGCGAUCCUCGGACAAACAUUUUCCGGCGAAGCCAAAGGCCGCGCCAUCGG
rnacentral:misc_RNA from 1 species